CUUCACGGAGCCGAGCCAGACGGGGUUCUUCUCGUCCCGUCCCUUGCCGUAGGUGGCGAGCAGGGCCUGCGCCUC
rnacentral:antisense_RNA from 1 species